ACCCGCUGAACUUAAGCAUAUCAAUAAGCGGAGGAAAAGAAACCAACCGGGAUUGCCUCAGUAACGGCGAGUGAAGCGGCAAAAGCUCAAAUUUGAAAUCUGGCCUCUGGUCCGAAUUGUAAUUUGAAGAAGCGACUCUGGUACCGGCCCUUGUCUAUGUUCCUUGGAACAGGACGUCACAGAGGGUGAGAAUCCCGUGCGAUGGGGUGUCCGGUGCUAUGUAGAGCGUUUUCGACGAGUCGAGUUGUUUGGGAAUGCAGCUCUAAGUGGGUGGUAAAUUCCAUCUAAAGCUAAAUAUUGGCGAGAGACCGAUAGCGAACAAGUACUGUGAAGGAAAGAUGAAAAGAACUUUGAAAAGAGAGUGAAAAAGUACGUGAAAUUGUUGAAAGGGAAGGGCUUGGGAUCAGACAUUGUAUUUCCAUGGCGCUCUUUCGGGGGUGUCCUCUGGGUUUACAGGGCCAGCAUGGGUUCUGCGGGCAAGAUGAGGGUUUGGGGAAUGUGGCUCUGCUUCGGCGGAGUGUUAUAGCCCUGGACACCGGUUGCCACGCGGGACCGAGGAUUGCGAAUCUAGGAUGCUGGCAUAAUGAUCUUAAGCCGCCCGUCUUGAAACACGGACCAAGGAGUCUAACGUCUAUGCGAGUGUUUGGGUGUAAAACCCGUACGCGGAAUGAAAGUGAACGCAGGUGAGAGCUUCGGCGCAUCAUCGACCGAUCCUGAUGUCUUCGGAUGGAUUUGAGUAAGAGCAUAGCUGUUGGGACCCGAAAGAUGGUGAACUAUGCCUGAAUAGGGUGAAGCCAGAGGAAACUCUGGUGGAGGCUCGUAGCGGUUCUGACGUGCAAAUCGAUCGUCGAAUUUGGGUAUAGGGGCGAAAGA
rnacentral:rRNA from 2 species